UACGAAGGGAGCUAGCGUUGUUCGGAAUUACUGGGCGUAAAGGGCGCGUAGGCGGUUUAGUAAGUCAGAUGUGAAAGCCCCGGGCUUAACCUGGGAACAGCAUUUGAUACUGCUAGACUUGAGAUCGAAAGAGGAGAGUGGAAUUGCGAGUGUAGAGGUGAAAUUCGUAGAUAUUCGCAGGAACACCAGUGGCGAAGGCGGCUCUCUGGUUCGAUAUUGACGCUAAGACGCGAAAGCGUGGGGAGCAAACAGG
rnacentral:rRNA from 1 species